ensembl:lncRNA novel transcript, antisense to SHANK2
CACCACACACACACAGACCGGAAACCACACGCAGACUUGCACAGCUCACUCGGUCCCGCGAAGAGGGACGAGACAAGACGCAGCUCUGGUUCUAGGUCCAGCCUCUAUGAAGCCUCCCCAGCCUGCCCCAUCCCAGUCCACACUGAUGCCUGCAGCUCUUGUAUGGUGGAAGGUUUUUCUCAGCUUCAACAAGGAGGCAGCAGCAUGUGGUGGUUGAAAGGACAGGUUCUCAAGGUAAGUACUUCAGCAUCAGAUGGACAUGGGGUUGAAAUCUGGUUUGCCCAAUUCCUCCAGCAUGUGGCUCUGGAAAAGUCCUGAAUUUAAGAUGUCAUCGGUGCCCUGCCUGCAUCUCCUUGGCACUCACUGUUCCCAGGUCAGCUUCUAGGGGAGCCCCACCCCAAAUGCCAUGUCGCCUAGGCUCUUCUACACAUGGAGACCACAACUGCAUCUGGACGUGGAGGUUUGCAUGGCUGUGAUGCUGUACGUGAAGUGCUGGCCUGUAGUACUUGAUGCACAAGGAACCGCAUGGGCAAGUAUAGAUUUUCUAAACUAUCCUUUCCCUUUGGGGCCCUGGGAAAGCCCAAAAAUCAGGGAACAACAGACACUGACUCCCUGCGUAAGCUGAUUGUAAAAGCCAGUCCUGCUUCUUUCCUGCAGGACUGGGGAUUUUACAAACAUACGGACAUGAGAGACUCAAACCUCGAUCCUGGCACUUCAAAAUAUGUUAGUCACGUGAGCCUGUGGUGGGUGCCCCCCUCUCUCAAUGGGGGGUGCUGUUUACAGUUAACAAUUGAUCAGAACAGGUAAAGGGUAAUUAAAAUGUAUUCGCCCAACAAAUGGGCAUUCCUUUUAUAAUAAUGAAAAAAACCUCUCUGUUCGUAAAGAGUUGUCUGCAUCAUAAAUAAGAAAGGUAUUCAUAAUUAUAUCCCAAAACUGAAAAGACAACAAGUGUCUCCCAAGGUGGAUUGUGAAAUCAACUCGGUGCUUCAACGUACUUGGAAAGUCAGCCUGGUUUUUGUUUUGUUUUGUUUUUGUUUUUGUUUUGAGACAGAGUUUAGCUCUUGUUGCCCAGGCUGUAGUGCAGUCUCGGCUCACUGCAACCUCUGCCUCCCGGGUUCAAGCGAUUCUCCUGCCUCAGCCUCCCGAGUAGCUGGGAUUACCGGUGCCUGCCACCACACCCAGCUAAUUUUUGUAUUUUUAGUAGAGACAGGGUUUCCUAUGUUGGCCAGGCUGGUUUCAAACUCCUGACCUCAGAUGAUCCACCCACCUUGGCCUCCCAAAGUGCUAGGAUUACAGGCGUGAGACACCGCGCCUGGCCCCUCCUGUUUUUGAGUAGGGGGGUUUAGUGGCUGGACCUUACCUUCUCAGAAGGGAGGAAGGGUGGCUGUGACUCCAUGGGGCAAGACUUAGGGUCAGGGGUAGCAGCCCCAAUAUCUCUCAGCUCCAUGUGGAGAGCUGGGAUAAGGAAGCCACUUCACCCCUUCCUCUUUGCAGUGCAGGCCCCAGUGAGGGUAGCCCAAUGGGGUAGCCCUUAGCUUGUUACCAUCCCAGACAACUCAGGAUCUGUGGAGCUGGCGGGGGCUCUGCCUCCAGGGGUGCCAGCAACAACCCCUGUCGUCAUGGGCGGGACCUGUGCUCAGACUCCCUUACCUCCCUUCUUCACUGUGUGCCCCUGGUCAAGAGAGUCCCACUCCCUUCACAGCAGCCGAUAUUUUUAGCUCUCAAACCAAAGCUAUCCUGUGUGCUGCUCUUUCAUAUUAGGGAGGCAGCAGGAAGACGGUCUCUGGCACUCUGAGAGCUCAGUUCAUUUUCUAAAUCAUUUUGCAGACAUUAACUCAUCAAUCUCUAUAACGCGCUCAUGGAGGUGCUGAGGCAGCCCUGGCAGAACCCUGGAUCUCAGAGCAAUUAAGUGAUUUGCCCUGGCUCACAGGAGGGAUGUGCAAGUCAGUGUCAGGCGCAGCCUUUGGGAGGCCCCGAGGCUCUGCACAGGUGCUUGAUGACGCAAGCCAUGCAUCUGGCUCUGCAUCCUCGUGCGGUUCUCCAAGGCGGGGUAGGUACCGGCCGUGGUUGACGUAGGGCACACAUGCCACACGGUAAAGCCUCGACAGCCAAACACAGUUCUGCUUUCCCUGAUGCCAAAAAUGAGGUGACGGGCACAGGCAAUAAACGACACCCAGGAGCACCCCCCUGACCCCUUUGAUGGGGUGAUGCCAUCUUCGAAAGCUCACCACUGCCGGUCCAAUGGGACUGCUCCCCGCUGCAGGUCCUGUGGAAGCGCGGGGCUGGAGGAAACAGGCCAGUGGGCUCGUCCAAGUUGCAAGACUGGGCCCAGCCGAUGGCAGGGCGAUGGGAGAGAGGAGGAGCCCCAAAGACUCUCCUCCUGGUUGGCACAAGGGGUACUAAAAAGGGGAAUGGCCAUCAGCACAACUGCGGAGGAAGUGAAGCAGAGGCAACCAGAGGGGAGCCGAGAGGAUGCCACUGGCUCUCUCUCCACCCUCAUCGGGUCACCAGCUCUUUGCCUAAAUAGAAGCGUGGAUGCUACGGCACCUUCCAAUAAACACAUCCAAAUCAGCUGCAAAUUAAUUUGUUUCAGCAAUCAAGAGCCGUGCCCUACAUCCAUUGCUUGAUGCUUAGCACAUUCUCCAGUUUGAUUUCUUUUCUUUUUAGAUUUUUAAAAAAGAUGUCAUAUUUUUAGAGCAGUUUUAGGUUCACAGUAAAACCAAGCAGAAGGAAUAGAGCUUACCCAGAGAGCCCCUGCCCCUCACGUGCAGUCUCCCCAGUCAUCAACACCCCCCUGGAGUGGGCCAUUUGUUACAACUGAGAGCCUACAGUGUCACUCGAAGUCCAUAGUUUACAUUAGGGUUCACUCUUGGGCUUGUACAUUCUACCAGUUUGGACAAAUGCGUAACGACAUGUAUCAAUUUUUAUCAUUAAUGGGGAAAAUCAGAUACAUACAUCAGAUAGGGAAUCCUAGAGCCAACCCUUAGCAUAAAUUAAACACUUCCUGUUCCUCUCCCCAUUUUACUAAAUCAAUGAUGUUCACAUGGAAAGAAACCUUGCAACAGGGACUGUCAGAAUAGAUCAGAACAUCAUCCUUCUAGAGAGGCAUGUUUCAGACAGCCUAACCUCUAAGGUCU